GCACGGAUAGCAUAGUGGUUAUGCACUCCCCUGCAGAGGGAGACACCUGGGUUCGAUUCCCGGUCCGUGCU
rnacentral:tRNA from 1 species